GGGGAAUAUUGGACAAUGGGCGCAAGCCUGAUCCAGCCAUGCCGCGUGAGUGAUGAAGGCCCUAGGGUUGUAAAGCUCUUUCACCGGUGAAGAUAAUGACGGUAACCGGAGAAGAAGCCCCGGCUAACUUCGUGCCAGCCGCCGCGGUAAUACGAAGGGGGCUAGCGUUGUUCGGAAUUACUGGGCGUAAAGCGCACGUAGGCGGAUCGAUCAGUUAGGGGUGAAAUCCCGGGGCUCAACCCCGGAACUGCCUCUAAUACUGUCGAUCUGGAGUUCGAGAGAGGUGAGUGGAAUUCCGAGUGUAGAGGUGAAAUUCGUAGAUAUUCGGAGGAACACCAGUGGCGAAGGCGGCU
rnacentral:rRNA from 1 species